rnacentral:rRNA from 1 species
GACAGAUGAUCAGGUUGAUAGGUCUGAGGUGGAAGUGUGGCGACACAUGGAGCUGACAGAUACUAAUCGAUCGAGGACUUAACCUAAUUUCUA